rnacentral:rRNA from 1 species
CAUGUCUUUUUGAAUAUAAUUUAAAGUCUGAUCUGCUCAAUGAAAUUUAAAUAGCCGCAGUAUUUUGACUGUGCGAAGGUAGCAUAAUAAUUAGUUUCUUGAUUAGGAACUGGAAUGAACGAUUUGACAAGAAAAUUACUGUCUCUUUUUUAAUAUUAUUGAAUUUUAUUUUUAAGUGAAAAAGCUUAGAUUUUUAUAAAAGACGAGAAGACCCUAUAGAGUUUGAUAAUUUUAAAUAAUUAUAUGUUAGAAUAAUUUUUUGUUUAGAUUUAUUUAAUUGGGGUGAUUGAAAGAUUAAAAAAAUUCUUUUAUAUAAAAAUUGUUAAUUAACAAAUUUUAAAUCUAUAAUUUAUAAAUAUAAAAUAAAUUACCUUAGGGAUAACAGCGUAAUUUUUCUUUAAAGUUCUUAUUAUAAGGAAAGUUUGCGACCUCGAUGUUGGAUUAAAAUAAAUUUUUGGUGCAAUAACUAAAAAAUUAGGUCUGUUCGACCUUUAAAAUUUUACAUGAUCUGAGUUUAAACCGGUGUGAGCCAGGUUGGAUUCUAUCUUUAGAAAGUUAAUAUAUUUUAGUACGAAAGGACCAAAUAUAUAUUAAAUUAAUUG